UCUGGCUGUGAUGAUUCACUUGCCCUCACUGCAAAUGUACUUUGGUGAUGAUACUGAAUGUGUUGCUGAGCCAGC